CGUUGUCGCCCGAGUUGCUACGUGGCCGGUCUCCCCACGCCACCUCCCUCCAGUGCGCCUCCUGCCUAUCCCUGCCACGGCCCUCUCCUUCCUGAGCUGCUUCACCACAGAGGACCGCCUCCACUGGCAUUUCCCCACCUCCUGACGUCUUCAUUUUCCUUCCCUGGUUCUGUUUGCUGCUGCUUCCCUUGCGCCAAACUGCCAUCCCCUUCCUCCUCCCUGCUGUGCGCCGUCCCUCUGUUCCAGGCCGCCUCCAACCUCGCCUCCGGAUCCCUGUACCCCGCUGCCUUUCCCCAGGACAGAACCGCACCGCCCCUUGCCCUCCCAGGCCGGAGCAGUCUGUUCCACACGGAGCUCCACCUCCCCACCGCCGAGCACUCUCUUGUGGCCCUCCUGCUCACCUUGCGACCCCCAAAAUGGGCUCCUGAUGUGCUGCUCGACCUCCCCCGGCGACCAUCUGAUAAGGGACCUCGUGCAGCAAUUAAGACAAGUUCAGGGGGUUUUCUGCGAAGUGUAGACCCAUAGGAACAGUGCUGUUCGAGGACCUGUAUGUAAAGAUCCGACUGCUUUUGCCGACGAUGUCUACAAGCUGAUCGUGGAUCGAGCCGUGAAAAUUCCUACAGAUCCCGGAACCAGAAGAAGGUUGUUCUGAAGACCUCAAGAACUUCAUCAGGGAAUUCUCGGAAGGCCCGAACCAAAGUUUCGGACGUUAUUAACUUGACUAACCCCAG